rnacentral:misc_RNA from 1 species
UAAAAAUACUAGAAAUAGAAUUUCACCCUAUAAUAAGAAAAUUACCUAGCUUACCUAUAAUCUGUUACUGUUACAAAUCCUGAAUCCUGCAAACAGACCUUAAACCGGGUUCGGUUACCGGUUCACGUAAACCUAACUCAUGGUCCUAAAACCUUCAAAAAUUUAGAAUCGACCCGGACUCUGGCUCGGCCAUUUCCUUUUUCUUCCUCAUCUCCAAUACUCUCCGAUGACUGUUGGAGUGAACAUCCACUGAAAAGGUUGGGCUACNNNNNNNNNNNNAAAAGCCGGCCCGAUUUAUAACGAACACCGCAAGCGUUACAUAGCGUCUUGGGCCCGAGCGGACCGGUUCUCCACUGCGGAGUCUUUUGAACCUGACAAUGACUACACCGCCGCUGGAACUGGGUUGACCCCAGAGCACCACCGAUUUGAGGUGUAAGUUUUUUCUUUGGUUUUUUCAUUGGUGGUUCCGUCAAUAACGAGUCAAUGCUUUGGACAGUGUUGGCGGGAACAAGACAUGGCGUUGAAGCAGAAGAUGAUGCCGGAGAAGAAGAAGAAGAAGAAGAUGAUGAUAAGUCUGUGAUCGGAGAACCAACUGACCAGGUCCUAGGGGUGGGUCUGAGCCGUUUGGAUCUUGGCUUGGAUGGGAUUGGAGCAGGGAAAAGACAUGAAACUUUGGCCGGCUGGGUUUGUGGUUGAAAUCUGUUGUUUAUUGCAUGGCUCUCUGCUGUCCAAGGGUACUGAAGGGAGAAUUCUGAGGAAGAAUCAUCCACAAUUUGAGAAACCCAUUCUAGAUCAGCCAAAUCUUCAACUGGUACAGAGAAUUCGCUGGUGAGGAGAGAAUCAGAAAAGGUGCUAGAAUUGGUGUUGUCAUCAUCCACACGAUCUUGAGACGAAACAGAAAGAGAAUCUUUCUCUUCUUCCUCGUCCUCUUCCUCCUCUACUUCUAACAAGUUUUGCUCUUGAAUAUAACAUUCGCCAUUAGAGAAGUCAAAGAAACCAUCAACAGAGAAAUCUUCGCACGAAAC